rnacentral:rRNA from 1 species
GGCGAACGCUGGCGGCGGGCCUAAUACAUGCAAGUUGAGCGAUGAAGCUUGGUGCUUGCACCCAUUUGAAGAGCAGCGGACGGGUGAGUAACGCGUGGGUAAUCUGCCUUUGAGCGGGGGACAACAUUUGGGAACGAAUGCUAAUACCGCAUAAUAACUUUAAACAUAAGUUUUAAGUUUGAAAGAUGCAAUUGCAUCACUCAAAGAUGAUCCCGCGUUGUAUUAGCUAGUUGGUGAGGUAAAGGCUCACCAAGGCGAUGAUACAUAGCCGACCUGAGAGGGUGGUCGGGCAAAAUGGGACUGGGAACAGGGUCCAACUCCUACGGGGAGCCGCAGGUGGGGAUCAUUGGCCAAUGGGGAAAGUCCUGCCGCGGAAAGACGGGGGGGUGAAGAAGGUUUUCGGAGUGGAAAACUCUGUUGGUAGGGAAGGACGAUGGGGAGAGUGGAACGCUGAUCAAGUGACGGUAACUACCCAGAAAGCGACGGCUAACUACGUG